UUUUUUUUUCCUGACUAGUGUUCCACAGUAUGGUUAUGCCACAGUUUGUUUAACCAUUAACCCAUUGAAAAACAUCUGGGCAGACUCCAGAUUUUGGCUAAUACAAAUAAAAUUCCUGUGAACAUUCGUGUACAGGUUUUUGUGUGAACAAAUGUUCUCAUUUGUCUGGAAUAAAUACCCAGGAAUGCAAACGAUGGUACAUACAGUAAUUGCAUACUUAGUUUUAUAAGAAACUGCCUCUUUUCCAGAAUGGCUGUGCCAUUUCACAUCUAUACCAGCAAUAUAUGAACAAUCUAGUUUCUCUGCAUCCUUGUCAGCAUGUGGUAUCAUCACUAUUUAUUAUUUUAGCCAUUCUGGCACUGGACAUAUAACGCUGAACAAGAUAAUUAUGGGACUUGAACUCUAGAAUUGCAAAUGCUGAUCAACACUAUGAAGGGACUGCAGCAUUGAGAUGACAAGGGGGAGGUCAAGAAGAAGAUAACCAGCACCUCAGAAGCUCUCUUCAUACACCCCUCAACCACUACUCACUGGAUUUGUUUGGCCUAUUUUCAAACAUUGUAUCUAUAAAAUCAUAUAGUAUGCAUUACUUCGUUUUGCUUUUCCAUUCCACAUUAUGUUUGUGAGAUAUAUCAAUGUGACCGUAGGUGGUAGUAGUUUGACCUAUUUCAUUGUUAUAUAGUAUUUCAUCUUAUGCCUAUACCAUGAUUUAUCUAUUCUUCUCUUGAUUAACAUGUAACUUGUUUUCAGUUUGGGAACAGUAUAAAGUUAUGUUGCUAUAAAACAUUUUUACAUGGCUUCUGGCACUACUAAGUACUAUUCAUUGUUGACUCUAUAACAUGGAGUAUUCAUUGCUGGGCCACAGGGUGUGUGUAUGUUUAACUUUAGUUACUACUGUCAAUUCCUUUUCAAAAGUGGUUGUACAGGUACCAAAUUUGUUCUCACACCAGCCAUUUAUGCAGAAUCCAGUGACUCCAUAUCUUUGCCAACACUUGGUAUCUCAUUAUGGUUUUAAUUUUCCUGUUCCUAAUCACUAAUGAAAUUAAGUUUUUUUUUUUUAAGUACCAACACUACUUUAACAGAAUUGACUUUCUGAUAUCAUUGAUUUAUCUUUAUCUAGAACUGCUCUUCAUGGUAGGCAACUCACUAGUUGAUGCCCUUAAAACUUUUCCUUAGAGAGUACAGAUUUUUAAUCUAAAAAUUAGCAAGUGUGUUAUAUGGACAUUUUCUUUGUGUAACAACAACACAGGUAAAAAUAAACAACUUUCUAAAUAUUAAUACCACUUUUAAAAGCUAUUCUGAAAUUCUUUAUCCUUACAAGUAUUUGGUGAAAAGGUGAGGUAAUUUUAUUGGCAUAAAUGUAUAUCUCAUAAUUAUCAACAAACAAAAUGAAUUCCAACUGUAAUACUCAGACACGUUUUGCAUGAAAAGUAACCUGGAAUGGCAAAUGCAAUAGUAUCUCCUUAUUUUUUAGGCCAUUAAAAAUCAUUGCUGGCUGGGCGCAGUGGCUCAUGCCUGUAAUCCAGCACUUUGGGAGGCCGAGGCAGGUGGAUCACCUGAGGUCGGGAGUUCAAGACCAGCCUGGCCAACAUGGUGAAACCCCGUCUCUACUAAAAAUACAAAAAUUAGCCAGGCUUGGUGGUGCAUGCCUGUAGUCCCAGGUACUCGGGAGGCUGAGGCAGGAGAAUCACUUGAACCCAGGAGGCAGAGGUUGCAGUGAGCUGAGAUGGAGCCAUUACACUCCAGCCUGGGUGACAGAGCGAAACUCUGUCUCAAAAAAAAAAAAGAAAAAAUAAUUGCCACUUCCACCCACAUCAUCAAUGAAGAAGGGCAGCAACAAAUUCGGCUACAUAAAGAUGACAAAUAUACAAAGGACAGCCUGUGAGAAGGGACAGGUUUAGAUUUUUGGCUUCAUGCUCAGGUUUCAUAUUUUCCAAUUUGAAUUUCUACUGAUUUUGAUAUCCUUUUUAUGUUCUGAUUAGGCAGAUUAAAUAUGUCUAUAAAGAAUUUUCCAGAUACAUGAUAUUACAUAAGAUCAUAAUAAAAUUAUUUGAAGACACCGG
rnacentral:lncRNA from 10 species